UACAGAGGUGGCAAGCGUUGUUCGGAAUUACUUGGGACGUAAAGGGCGCGUAGGUCGGCCUACUAAGUCAGACGAUUGAAAUCCCCCGGCUUAACCUGGGAACUGCGUCUGAUACUGGAAGCUUGAGGAUGGGAGAGGGAGUGUAGAAUUCCAGGUGUAGCGGUGAAAUGCGCAGAUAUCAGGAAGAACACCCGUGGCGAAAGCGGCUCUCUGGAACGGUACUGACACUCAAGUGCGAAAGCGUGGGGAGCAAACAGG
rnacentral:rRNA from 1 species